ACCCGCUGAACUUAAGCAUAUCAAUAAGCGGAGGAAAAGAAACCAACAGGGAUUGCCCUAGUAACGGCGAGUGAAGCGGCAACAGCUCAAAUUUGAAAUCUGGCGUCUUUGGCGUCCGAGUUGUAAUUUGCAGAGGGCGCUUUGGCAUUGGCAGCGGUCCAAGUUCCUUGGAACAGGACGUCACAGAGGGUGAGAAUCCCGUACGUGGUCGCUAGCCUUUACCGUGUAAAGCCCCUUCGACGAGUCGAGUUGUUUGGGAAUGCAGCUCUAAAUGGGAGGUAAAUUUCUUCUAAAGCUAAAUACUGGCCAGAGACCGAUAGCGCACAAGUAGAGUGAUCGAAAGAUGAAAAGCACUUUGGAAAGAGAGUUAAAAAGCACGUGAAAUUGUUGAAAGGGAAGCGCUUGCAGCCAGACUUGCCUGUAGUUGCUCAUCCGGGUUUUUACCCGGUGCACUCUUCUAUAGGCAGGCCAGCAUCAGUUUGGGCGGUUGGAUAAAGGUCUCUGUCAUGUACCUCUCUUUGGGGAGAACUUAUAGGGGAGACGACAUGCAACCAGCCCGGACUGAGGUCCGCGCAUCUGCUAGGAUGCUGGCGUAAUGGCUGU
rnacentral:rRNA from 1 species